rnacentral:rRNA from 1 species
GGUUAAGCGACUAAGCGUACACGGUGGAUGCCCUGGCAGUCAGAGGCGAUGAAGGACGUGCUAAUCUGCGAUAAGCGUCGGUAAGGUGAUAUGAACCGUUAUAACCGGCGAUUUCCGAAUGGGGAAACCCAGUGUGUUUCGACACACUAUCAUUAACUGAAUCCAUAGGUUAAUGAGGCGAACCGGGGGAACUGAAACAUCUAAGUACCCCGAGGAAAAGAAAUCAACCGAGAUUCCCCCAGUAGCGGCGAGCGAACGGGGAGCAGCCCAGAGCCUGAAUCAGUGUGUGUGUUAGUGGAAGCGUCUGGAAAGGCGCGCGAUACAGGGUGACAGCCCCGUACACAAAAAUGCACAUGCUGUGAGCUCGAUGAGUAGGGCGGGACACGUGGUAUCCUGUCUGAAUAUGGGGGGACCAUCCUCCAAGGCUAAAUACUCCUGACUGACCGAUAGUGAACCAGUACCGUGAGGGAAAGGCGAAAAGAACCCCGGCGAGGGGAGUGAAAAAGAACCUGAAACCGUGUACGUACAAGCAGUGGGAGCACGCUUCGGCGUGUGACUGCGUACCUUUUGUAUAAUGGGUCAGCGACUUAUAUUCUGUAGCAAGGUUAACCGAAUAGGGGAGCCGAAGGGAAACCGAGUCUUAACUGGGCGUUAAGUUGCAGGGUAUAGACCCGAAACCCGGUGAUCUAGCCAUGGGCAGGUUGAAGGUUGGGUAACACUAACUGGAGGACCGAACCGACUAAUGUUGAAAAAUUAGCGGAUGACUUGUGGCUGGGGGUGAAAGGCCAAUCAAACCGGGAGAUAGCUGGUUCUCCCCGAAAGCUAUUUAGGUAGCGCCUCGUGAAUUCAUCUCCGGGGGUAGAGCACUGUUUCGGCAAGGGGGUCAUCCCGACUUACCAACCCGAUGCAAACUGCGAAUACCGGAGAAUGUUAUCACGGGAGACACACGGCGGGUGCUAACGUCCGUCGUGAAGAGGGAAACAACCCAGACCGCCAGCUAAGGUCCCAAAGUCAUGGUUAAGUGGGAAACGAUGUGGGAAGGCCCAGACAGCCAGGAUGUUGGCUUAGAAGCAGCCAUCAUUUAAAGAAAGCGUAAUAGCUCACUGGUCGAGUCGGCCUGCGCGGAAGAUGUAACGGGGCUAAACCAUGCACCGAAGCUGCGGCAGCGACGCUGAUGCGUUGUUGGGUAGGGGAGCGUUCUGUAAGCCUGUGAAGGUGUGCUGUGAGGCAUGCUGGAGGUAUCAGAAGUGCGAAUGCUGACAUAAGUAACGAUAAAGCGGGUGAAAAGCCCGCUCGCCGGAAGACCAAGGGUUCCUGUCCAACGUUAAUCGGGGCAGGGUGAGUCGACCCCUAAGGCGAGGCCGAAAGGCGUAGUCGAUGGGAAACAGGUUAAUAUUCCUGUACUUGGUGUUACUGCGAAGGGGGGACGGAGAAGGCUAUGUUGGCCGGGCGACGGUUGUCCCGGUUUAAGCGUGUAGGCUGGUUUUCCAGGCAAAUCCGGAAAAUCAAGGCUGAGGCGUGAUGACGAGGCACUACGGUGCUGAAGCAACAAAUGCCCUGCUUCCAGGAAAAGCCUCUAAGCAUCAGGUAACAUCAAAUCGUACCCCAAACCGACACAGGUGGUCAGGUAGAGAAUACCAAGGCGCUUGAGAGAACUCGGGUGAAGGAACUAGGCAAAAUGGUGCCGUAACUUCGGGAGAAGGCACGCUGAUAUGUAGGUGAAGUCCCUCGCGGAUGGAGCUGAAAUCAGUCGAAGAUACCAGCUGGCUGCAACUGUUUAUUAAAAACACAGCACUGUGCAAACACGAAAGUGGACGUAUACGGUGUGACGCCUGCCCGGUGCCGGAAGGUUAAUUGAUGGGGUUAGCGCAAGCGAAGCUCUUGAUCGAAGCCCCGGUAAACGGCGGCCGUAACUAUAACGGUCCUAAGGUAGCGAAAUUCCUUGUCGGGUAAGUUCCGACCUGCACGAAUGGCGUAAUGAUGGCCAGGCUGUCUCCACCCGAGACUCAGUGAAAUUGAACUCGCUGUGAAGAUGCAGUGUACCCGCGGCAAGACGGAAAGACCCCGUGAACCUUUACUAUAGCUUGACACUGAACAUUGAGCCUUGAUGUGUAGGAUAGGUGGGAGGCUUUGAAGUGUGGACGCCAGUCUGCAUGGAGCCGACCUUGAAAUACCACCCUUUAAUGUUUGAUGUUCUAACGUUGACCCGUAAUCCGGGUUGCGGACAGUGUCUGGUGGGUAGUUUGACUGGGGCGGUCUCCUCCUAAAGAGUAACGGAGGAGCACGAAGGUUGGCUAAUCCUGGUCGGACAUCAGGAGGUUAGUGCAAUGGCAUAAGCCAGCUUGACUGCGAGCGUGACGGCGCGAGCAGGUGCGAAAGCAGGUCAUAGUGAUCCGGUGGUUCUGAAUGGAAGGGCCAUCGCUCAACGGAUAAAAGGUACUCCGGGGAUAACAGGCUGAUACCGCCCAAGAGUUCAUAUCGACGGCGGUGUUUGGCACCUCGAUGUCGGCUCAUCACAUCCUGGGGCUGAAGUAGGUCCCAAGGGUAUGGCUGUUCGCCAUUUAAAGUGGUACGCGAGCUGGGUUUAGAACGUCGUGAGACAGUUCGGUCCCUAUCUGCCGUGGGCGCUGGAGAACUGAGGGGGGCUGCUCCUAGUACGAGAGGACCGGAGUGGACGCAUCACUGGUGUUCGGGUUGUCAUGCCAAUGGCACUGCCCGGUAGCUAAAUGCGGAAGAGAUAAGUGCUGAAAGCAUCUAAGCACGAAACUUGCCCCGAGAUGAGUUCUCCCUGACCCUUUAAGGGUCCUGAAGGAACGUUGAAGACGACGACGUUGAUAGGCCGGAUGUGUAAGCGCAGCGAUGCGUUGAGCUAACCGGUACUAAUGAACCGUGAGGCUUAACCUU